rnacentral:rRNA from 1 species
AUUGAACGCUGGCGGCAGGCUUAACACAUGCAAGUCGAGCGGGGGAAGGUAGCUUGCUACCGGACCUAGCGGCGGACGGGUGAGUAAUGCUUAGGAAUCUGCCUAUGAGUGGGGGACGACAUCUCGAAAGGGAUGCUAAUACCGCAUACGUCCUACGGGAGAAAGCAGGGGAUCUUCGGACACUGCGCUAAUACAUGAGCCUAAGUCGGAUUAGCUAGUUGGUGGGGAAAAGGCCUACCAAGGCGACGAUGUGUAGCGGGUCUGAGAGGAUGAUCCGCCACACGGGGACUGAGACACGGCCCAGACUCCUACGGGAGGCAGCAGUGGGGAAUAUUGGACAAUGGGGGGAACCCUGAUCCAGCCAUGCCGCGUGUGUGAAGAAGGCCUUAUGGUUGUAAAGCACUUUAAGCGAGGAGGAGGCUACUCUAGUUAAUACCUAGGGAGAGUGGACGUUACUCGCAGAAUAAGCACCGGCUAACUCUGUGCCAGCCGCCGCCGUAA